AGUUGGUAGGGUAAAGGCUUACCAAGGCAAUGAUGCGUAGCCGAAUUGAGAGGUCGAUCGGCCACAUUGGGACUGAGACACGGCCCAAACUCCUACGGGAGGCAGCAGUAGGGAAUCUUCCACAAUGGGCGAAAGCCUGAUGGAGCAACGCCGCGUGGGUGAAGAAGGUCUUCGGAUCGUAAAACCCUGUUGUUAGAGAAGAAAGUGCGUGAGAGUAACUGUUCACGUUUCGACGGUAUCUAACCAGAAAGCCACGGCUAACUACGUGCCAGCAGCCGCGGUAAUACGUAGGUGGCAAGCGUUAUCCGGAUUUAUUGGGCGUAAAGGGAACGCAGGCGGUCUUUUAAGUCUGAUGUGAAAGCCUUCGGCUUAACCGGAGUAGUGCAUUGGAAACUGGGAGACUUGAGUGCAGAAGAGGAGAGUGGAACUCCAUGUGUAGCGGUGAAAUGCGUAGAUAUAUGGAAGAACACCAGUGGCGAAAGCGGCUCUCUGGUCUGUAACUGACGCUGAGGUUCGAAAGCGUGGGUAGCAAACAGGAUUAGAUACCCUGGUAGUCCACGCCGUAAACGAUGAAUGCUAAGUGUUGGAGGGUUUCCGCCCUUCA
rnacentral:rRNA from 1 species